GAUGAACGCUGGCGGCGUGCCUAAUACAUGCAAGUCGAGCGAACGGACGAGAAGCUUGCUUCUCUGAUGUUAGCGGCGGACGGGUGAGUAACACGUGGAUAACCUACCUAUAAGACUGGGAUAACUUCGGGAAACCGGAGCUAAUACCGGAUAAUAUUUUGAACCGCAUGGUUCAAAAGUAAAAGACGGUCUUGCUGUCACUUAUAGAUGGAUCCGCGCUGCAUUAGCUAGUUGGUAAGGUAACGGCUUACCAAGGCAACGAUGCAUAGCCGACCUGGGAGGUUGAUCGGCCACACUGGAACUGGGACACGGUCCAGACUCCUACGGGAGGCAGCAGUAGGGAAUCUUCCGCAAUGGGCGAAAGCCUGACGGAGCAACGCCGCGUGAGUGAUGAAGGUCUUCGGAUCUUAAAACUCUGUUAUUAGGGAAGAACAUAUGUGUAAGUAACUGUGCACAUCUUGACGGUACCUAAUCAGAAAGCCACGGCUAACUACGUG
rnacentral:rRNA from 1 species